GACGAACGCUGGCGGCGUGCUUAACACAUGCAAGUGGAGCGACGAAGCGGGCUUCGGCCCGUGGCAGAGCCGCGAACGGGUGAGUAACACGUGGGUAACCUGCCCCGAUGACCGGGACAACCCGAGGAAACUCGGGCUAAUACCGGAUGUGGGCACCUCACGUAAGUGAGAUGACUAAAGAUAGCUUCGGCCUUCGCAUCGGGAUGGGCCCGCGGCGCAUUAGCUUGUUGGUGAGGUAACGGCUCACCAAGGCAACGAUGCGUAGCUGGUCUGAGAGGACGAUCAGCCACACUGGGACUGAGACACGGCCCAGACUCCUACGGGAGGCAGCAGUGGGGAAUCUUGCGCAAUGCGCGAAAGCGUGACGCAGCAACGCCGCGUGGGGGAAGAAGGCCUUCGGGUUGUAAACCCCUUUCAGGAGGGACAAAGCCUGGCUGGUGAAUAGCCAGUCCAGAUGACGGUACCUCCACAAGAAGCCCCGGCUAACUACGUGCCAGCCGCCGCAGUAAUAC
rnacentral:rRNA from 1 species